GAUCAUGGCUCAGGACGAACGCUGGCGGCGUGCUUAACACAUGCAAGUCGAACGCUGAAGCCCAGCUUGCUGGGUGGAUGAGUGGCGAACGGGUGAGUAACACGUGAGUAACCUGCCCCCUUCUUUGGGAUAACGCCCGGAAACGGGUGCUAAUACUGGAUAUUCACUGGCCUUCGCAUGGGGGUUUGGGUGGGAAAGGGUUUUUUUCUUGGUGGGGGAGUGGGCUCGCGGCCUAUCAGCUUGUUGGUGGGUG
rnacentral:rRNA from 1 species